rnacentral:snRNA from 1 species
GCAGGACAAGCAUUAAAUAAAAUUGGAACGAGAGAAGAUUAGCAUGACUCCUGGACAAGGAUGACAUGCACAAAUCGAUGUCCAAUUUUUUU